rnacentral:rRNA from 1 species
AGCGAACGCUGGCGGCAGGCCUAACACAUGCAAGUCGAACGAACCCUUCGGGGUUAGUGGCGGACGGGUGAGUAACACGUGGGAACGUGCCUUUAGGUUCGGAAUAACUCAGGGAAACUUGUGCUAAUACCGAAUGUGCCCUUCGGGGGAAAGAUUUAUCGCCUUUAGAGCGUCCCGCGUCUGAUUAGCUAGUUGGUGGGGUAAUGGCUCACCAAGGCUACGAUCAGUAGCUGGUCUGAGAGGAUGACCAGCCACAUUGGGACUGAGACACGGCCCAAACUCCUACGGGAGGCAGCAGUGGGGAAUCUUGCGCAAUGGGCGAAAGCUUGACGCAGCCAUGCCGCGUGGAUGAUGAAGGUCUUAGGAUUGUAAAAUCCUUUCACCGGUGAAGAUAAUGACUGUAGCCGGAGAAGAAGCCCCGGCUAACUUCGUGCCAGCCGCCGCGGUAACAC